rnacentral:rRNA from 1 species
UACGUAGGGUGCGAGCGUUGUCCGGAAUUACUGGGCGGAAAGGGCGCGUAGGCGGCACGGCAAGUCAGGAGUGAAAGGCCUGGGCUCAACCGAGGAACUGCUUUUGAGACUGCCGAGCUAGAGUGCAGAAGGGGCAACUGGAAUUCCCAGUGUAGCGGUGAAAUGCGUAGAUAUUGGGAAGAACACCUGAGGCGAAGGCGGGUUGCUGGGCUGACACUGACGCUGAGGCGCGAAGGCCAGGGGAGCAAACGGG